rnacentral:rRNA from 1 species
GACGAACGCUGGCGGCGUGCUUAACACAUGCAAGUCGUACGGUAAGGCCCUUUCGGGGGUACACGAGUGGCGCACGGGUGAGUAACACGUGAGUAACCUGCCCACAACUUUGGGAUAACGCUAGGAAACUGGUGCUAAUACUGGAUAUGUGCUCCUGCUGCAUGGUGGGGGUUGGAAAGCUCCGGCGGUUGUGGAUGGACUCGCGGCCUAUCAGCUUGUUGGUGGGGUAGUGGCCUACCAAGGCGGCGACGGGUAGCCGGCCUGAGAGGGUGACCGGCCACAUUGGGACUGAGAUACGGCACAGACUCCUACGGGAGGCAGCAGUGGGGAAUAUUGCACAAUGGGCGCAAGCCUGAUGCAGCAGCGCCGCGUGCGGGAUGACGGCCUUCGGGUUGUAAACCGCUUUCAGCAGGGACGAAGCUUUUUGUGACGGUACCUGCAGAAGAAGCACCGGCUAACUACGUG